rnacentral:rRNA from 1 species
AAGUCGAACGAGGAUCAUCUGUGUAGCAAUACAUUGGCGGUCCUAGUGGCGCACGGGUGAGUAACACGUGGGUAACCUGCCCUCGAGCCUGGGAUACCCCCUCGAAAGGGGGGCUAAUACCGGAUACGUUCCUUGGGUCGAAAGAUUCGAGGAGGAAAGGUGGCGCAAGCUACCGCUCUUGGAGGGGCUCGCGGCCUAUCAGCUAGUUGGCGGGGUAACGGCCCACCAAGGCUAUGACGGGUAGCUGGUCUGAGAGGACGACCAGCCACACGGGGACUGAGACACGGCCCCGACUCCUACGGGAGGCAGCAGUGGGGAAUUUUCCGCAAUGGGCGAAAGCCUGACGGAGUGACGCCGCGUGUGGGACGAAGGCCUUCGGGUCGUAAACCACUGUCAGUGGGAAAGAUGGGUGUCGGCGCUAAUAUCGCCGGCAUUUGACGGUACCUGCAGAGGAAGCCCCGGCCAACUCUGUGCCAGCAGCCGCGGUAAGACAGAGGGGGCAAGCGUUGCUCGGAAUUACUGGGCGUAAAGGGCGCGUAGGCGGGAUGGCAAGUCGGUCGUGAAAUCCCUCGGCUCAACCGAGGAACGUCGAUCGAUACUGCCAUUCUUGAGGAUUGCAGAGGAGACUGG